UACAGAGGCCCCAAGCAUUAUCCGGAUUUACUGGGCGUAAAGGGUGCGUAGGCGGUGUGAUUAGUCGGGUGUUAAAUCCUGGGGCUCAACCUCAGAAUCGCAUUCGAAACGGUCAUACUAGAAGGUGUGAGAGGCAAGCGGAAUUCCGGGUGUAGCGGUGGAAUGCGUAGAGAUCUGGAAGAACACCAGUAGCGAAGGCGGUCGACUGGCCCGUAACUGACGCUCAGGCACGAAAGCGUGGGGAGCGAACAGG
rnacentral:rRNA from 1 species